rnacentral:lncRNA from 1 species
AUGGCCCGGGCGGGGAAGGCGCUGCGGGACCCCGAGGGAAGGGCGGGGAGACCCAGCCCGGCCCCAGCCGGGAUCACCCCGUCUCUCCGCGGCGCUGCGCCUCCCCGCCCCGUGCCUUCAUCCCACCCCAUCCCACCCGAGGGGAUCUCCUCUCAGCCCUCCCCUUCUCUCCCUGCCGCGUCCUCCCUUGCUUUUUUUUUUUUUCUUUUCCCUUUUUCCAUCCCCUCCCCCGCCCGGGAAGACCCGGCAGCUCCCCCCCGCCCCGUCCUCAGUAGCCGCGGGUGCUCGGCGGCGGCGGGUGCCGGGGCCGGGGUCGGCGGGGCAGGACAGGGCAGGACAGGACAGGACAGGGCAGGGGGUCUCUCACAGCCUGGAGGUGGCCGCUUCCCCUCCCCUGGGCUCCAUCGGAGCCAGAUUCGUCACCGCUGGGAGCAGAUUUAUCUCGGAAUCGCAAGAGAGCUGUGCCAAGGUAUUUAACUUUCAGGCUCGGGAGAGAGGGAACUCCUUUGGAUCAGCCACAGCAAGGCAGAGCCUCCCGCGGUCACGCCUGAAAGCAGGACCAGAGGAUGGCUAAGGAGCUUUAGCGACUGGGAGCCUUCCCCUCCAGAUCCUCGGCUUCUCCCAGGAAAACACCGGACUUCCAAGCGCUUGAUGCACACAAACGGUGAGCAGAAGCGGAGCGGGCGAUGAAAAAGCAAAGACCCAGCGACCUCCUUUUUUUUUUUUUUUUUUUCUUUUUUGCCCCCUCAAUCUCUGUUUCUCUGCUGAUGUCCCCCCAGGGCAUCAGGCUCGGGCAGAGCAGCCGGGGACGGGGACCCAGGGCAAGUUCAGACCCGGCAGCCGCUCAGCUUGUCCCGGACCGCAGCGGGAUGAGGCUGUGUGGUUGGGGAUUUUCCCUCUUCGGCCCCCUCCCCAAACCUGGCAGGGGAAGAGGGCGCAGCCCCGGGCAGAGAGGAGCGGGGACUGCCUGGUGGCGAGCCCAAUGGCUGGGAGAGGCUCCCGGAGAGGGCUGAGCAGGGUUGCAAAGAAAGUUGCAAAGCGCUCGUGCUCUGCCGCUUGGCCCCGAAAGGAGCCGUGCCGGUCUGAGCCCAGCCCUGCCGAGCUCUGCCAGUCCGAGAAGUACCGAGCCGUGCCGUGCCGGUUUGAGCCCAGCCGAGCCGUGCUGUGCUGAGCCGGUCCGAGCCGUGCUGAGCCGUGCUAAGCCGAGCCGUGCCGAGCCGUGCCGCUGUCCGGGCGCGCCACCCAGCGGCUGCCGACACUUGGGUGUCCGGGGGUUCUCCCUGCCCCCGUGGGGAAACAGAAAUCAUUUUUAUUUAUUUUUUUUUUCCAUUUAUUUUCUCUUAUUUUAUUUCUUUUUUAUUGUUAUUAUUUAAAUUUCCUUUCCUUUUUUUUUUUUUCUUUGGUGUAAUUUCAGGAACUCACAAGAGUUUUCAAAAAGCCUUGUAAAAUUUGUUCUUCUUAUGCCUACUGAAGCAGCUUAAAUUUUGUAAGAGCCAGGAGUCGCUGUGUUUUUUUUAUUUUUUUUCUCUCCAUAAGCCGGAGUGCAGGAUGAAAUCUGUGCACUGACAUCCAGAGGAGUGAAGGGAGCAGUGGUGGAUAGGGUUAGGGUGAUGGCUUCUUGUAGGGAGUAUGAGAUUUCCAAAAAUGUCCUCCCUUUUGCUUUGUCAGUGCUGAGCUGUCAAUUCCAGCUUUCAGACCAUUUAAAGAACAAGGCCAAAAGCAGUUAAGGAGCUGGGUAGUGUUUCAGCUUAUCAUAUUUUGUGGUCUGAGAACUGCAUCUGAAUUUAUGCAAGUCUAAUGUGAAUUGUGCUGACUUUCCUACAAGCCCAAGCUGUUCUGAACAAAACAAGAUAAAACACCAUGAGGCAGUAGGACAAAACUUUUCUUCUGUUUGAGCUAUACUGACAAAUAAAUUCAGCCUGGGGUAGCCUGAAGAGAAGCAUAGUCCAGGACUGCUUGUCUACAAACCUUCUGAUCAUUUGAAGUGCAUUCUUCUGGAGUUAUAUAGGUCAUACAGACAAGAUAUUUGAAUGAUAUCCUGAAAAGGUAGAACACAGGUAUGUUUCAUAAGUGCAGAAAGGGUUAAUGAUAGAAAGAGGACGUGAGAAGAGCUGAAAAUGCCUUUACAUGUAUGCAUGGCAGCUGGAAUGAGGACGGAGUCCUUGCACUUAUCCACUGGGCUUGGAAAUCAGGGGGAAAGUAUCAAAAUUUUCACAGCACCAAGACACUCUCUUUCAUUUUCUGGUUUUUAUCUUCUUCUGUCUUCUCUGAAGCAAUUCAUCCUGUCAUAAAGGCAGAGCUGACUGAAGGCUUCUAAUUACUGUAAGCCAACCCAAAAUUUAUAUGGGAAAGGAGCAAAGAAAAAGAAAGGGCAGAGCCUGGGGUUUGGAGGAAGAGCAAAGAACAGCGUGGCAGAAAGUGAGAGUAAGAUUUUGGGGAUCUAUUUGUCCUCCCAGCUUAUAGCCUUAUUCCCUCUCCCCUUCUCUCACCAUGCAGUCAUGUCUUUGCAGCCAUCUACACAAUUCCAUCCUUGCUACCUGGCAAGAGAAAUCCCUGCGUUCCCCCCUGUGCCAACAGCCUGUGCUGGCCAUGGCAACUGUUCUCUUUUCCUGUGUUUGAUGUUGUCCUUGCUUAAGCAAUAGAGUUCUGGUUAGUAAACAGACCUUGAGUGCCUGGCUGUAAAUGACAAUGCUGCCUACUGGGACCACUCUGCCCUGUAAUGAAAAUUACCAUUUUCAUCAAGCUCCUUGGCUUGGACUUCUUCCAGUUCUACUGAAGCAUAGUUGCCCAUUUAGUUCAUUACAAAAAACAAGUAGCUCAUUAUAAAUGAUGGAAACCAUGGUGUCCAAGACUGUCUUUAUAAGUACUGAGCACUUGAGUAUAGUGUUUCAAACAGGAGGCUCUGAUGCAUCUAUUCAGGGUUGUGUGUUUUGUUUUGUUUUAUUCUUUUUAAAGAGUGGCUGAAAGGAGGCACAGUACUUACCCAUUUGCUUGUAGGAUGUCCCUGUGCAAAGCAAAUUUCGUUAUGAAUCCAGCUGGGAAGGCUUCAGCCAUCUCAGUGAAAUGACAUCAACCGAGGCACUUCUAAGACUUUCUGUAUGAACUAGCAGUUAGUGAAUUAACUUUCCUUAGUGCUCACAAAAUUCAGCUACAGAAAACUAUCAAACACCCAGACCCUGAAGAAGAGCUGAGAACGGGAGGAGCAUUUUAGGAAGAGAACCUAGAAAAGGCAUUCUCAAGCCCAAUGGAAGCAGCGAGUUUCUUCAUACCUUGUAUCUCUUCAACAGCUAUGUUAGGACAAAGCAUAUUAAAAUCAGAAUUUCCACAUUAAUAUCACAUGAUUUACCAUCAAGUCAUGUUAGCCUCUGACAGGCUCAAUGUGAAGAAAAGGAGAUGCUUUCUAAUGCAAGUAGUUAAGCAGUGGAAAUCUUCGAUGGAGAACAAUGUGGAUACAAGAUGUGCAUUUUUGCAAUACCAAUAAACUAGACUGGUAUGGCCAAGUGGUGUCUCCCUGCAAAAUCUUGCUACUGGGAUGACUGCUCUGCUUUCAAAAUCCUCAAAUAUCUUUCAGUAUGAUUACAUGCACCCCAGAGCUUAGGCCUGUGAGUCACUGUAGUUUCCAGAUGUCUUACAAAAGUUCACACAUCUUCUCCAAAACCUGAGUUGGCUACUUUAAAGCCAGGCUAAUUAUAUAUAUGGUAUUGUAAAAUGUGUUUCAAGUAUAUCCAAGUAAGUAAACUCCAGGUCAAAGUCAGUGUUCCAUGCAGGCUAAGGUGAAAAGCAUCAAAAGCUACACCAACACAAAACUGUCCCCUGAAUUUGGCUUUAGAAUCAACAAGCUGCAUUUGAGCCAUAGCGCAUAGUUAGCUAAAAAGUGAUAGCUGUUACCUCUCACAGGCAAGAACUAUGUCUACAUGGUGUAGAUGCCUCAAAAUUAUAGUUGUUGGUCCAUUGUUUGGCUUUUAAAGUGAUGUUACCACUUCUUUUUCCAUGUUACACACAUGCUCCUCUGUUUUUUUCAUGCUGUAUCUUUAGCUAGCCUGUAACCAGGUUAUUUCACUGUGUGGGGCUACUCAUUCUAAACAAAGCUCAAGAAAAUGCAAGAGGUUGUCUUUGCCCUGAUUUAUACUCCCAUCACAAUGUAAACCAGAAAGCUUAACCACAUACAUACCCUUGAAUUGCUUGGCUUUUAAAGUUUAAUCAUAGGCUCUUUCUUUCUACACAGCUGAGGUUUCCAUGUAAUUGGAAUAAAGGAUAUGAGAAUGGAGUGCAGCUUUCCCGAUGGCAGCGGUUAGUAGCUGGUUAAUGCCACUGAUAGCACUGCUGCCAAAGGAGAAAAAUGGUAUUUUCAGUAAUGUUUUGAGCUCAAAAUCAAGAGUUCUGAGUUCGGUUUCUGGCUCUGCCACAGACUUCUAACAAUUUCACAUUCUUUUUGCAUGUUUCCCAGCUACAGAUGAGAAUAAUAUGUUUUGUUUUGUUUUUGUCUUUCUGAUUUAAAGUGUUAGCUCUUUGUGUGGUGUGUCACCCUAUCUAGGUGGGCCUAUGUGACCAUAAUCUAGGUGGUCACAUGUGACCAUAAGACACAGACAGUAGAUUUUCUGCAGACUUUGUGGGAUCCUGCAGGAAAAAGGCAUGCCAUGAGUCAGCAGACUUCUCCCUCCUACUUGGCUGGGCUUUCCUCUGUGUAUAUAUUGCAUGAUUGUGUUUUUAAGAUACUGAGAUAAUUGCAUGUAUUUCAACUGCAUAUUUUCAAAUCUCUCUGUCUUGU